rnacentral:lncRNA from 1 species
CUUCCUGCUAUUGAGAGCAUUAUCAUCGGAUUCCUGAGAAGGUCUCCUGUUUGGUGAUAUUGUUGAGUUCCCUGUGUCGCCGGAUUCCUGAGAAGGUUUCCUGUUUGGUGACGGAGCUGUGUUCUUUGAGUCGCCAGAGUCCUGUCCAUCGGAUUCCUGAGUUUGGGCGGCUGAGAUUAACUGAGUUGGGCUCCGAUUUGUGUUCCGCUUCCACCUUUGAGCCUUGGUCUUUGAGCUGCCGGAGUGUAGUGCUUUGUGGGAAAAUCUGAGCCUCUGUGUCCGAAAGGGCACACUUUUCCCACCUUGAAUCUUCUCUGGACUCUCUUACUUUUCUGAUUUCUUUAGUUUCUUUCUUUGAACUGUUAACUUGCUGCUUUUCUGUUGAUUUGCAGGUACUAGCAGGAAGAAGAGGAAGCAGAAGCUGUGAAGGAGAAAAACAGAAGAAGAAGUGCCUGAGCACGAAGUGAGAAGGACCGGAGGUUCGGGAAACAAGAGGAGUAAUCCCGGCAAGGCGAAGAUACCCAACAGUGGUAUCAGAGCCACGGGGACCUUGCCGGGGCUCCCCCCGAACACAUCCCUCUCACCCCGCCGCCCUUUGGCUGCGCCGAUUCGCUCCCGACGAGCAAGGUUUUGGUAAGACCGACUCUUCCCCUACCUGGGAAGUCGGCUCUGGUAAAUUGGCUUAAGACCCUAAAACUCCUAGUCAUUAGGAUUGGUGUUGCCUGCUGUUUUUUCUUUGUUGUAUGUUACUGUUUGGUCUUGGUAUCUUGCGAUCCUGAUCUUUUGUGUGCUUCCGCUUGUUGCCUUAUAUCUCGAUAUCCCCUGGCAUUCAAAGCCAAGUGAGGUUCUCCCUUGCAUUUGGUCCAGUUCGUCUGGAUUCUCCUUUAAAGGAGUCUCCUCGUGCGAGUACCCUGGAAAUCAAGGGAGAAAGGGGGCUAUCUAGACAGGUCUGUGUGUGCUUUGGUUCCUUAUUGUUUCCGCUGUUGUUUUGCUCUCUCUGGUGUUUCUGCUUUGCUCUGUAAAACCUCUCUUGGAUUGAGAGCUUUACCCUUUCUUGGACUCAGAUAGUCCUCUUGGAACUUCUUGGAGGGACCAGUGUGAAACCUUGCUCCACAGAUCAAUCUGUGCUGAGAUCUGGGCUCUUCCCUGCUCCUGAACUCCAGAAGUUUCCUUCCUUGAGGUCCUAGUGACCUUUUGUUGUGGUGUUAUUUGCUCUGUGGUCUGACUGACCUGUUACUCUGUGGUUGUUGUGGUUUUCUGUGAAAAGUGUGUUUGCUUAAGUGCUGCAUCUGCAUUCACCAUGAACAACAUGCAUUUGGUGCCAUUCAAUGGCCGAGAUGAUUUCAAGAUUGGAAAACCAAAAUAGAGUGCAUUUUAGUCAAGGAAAAGGUUAAUAAAGCUCUGUUGUCUAAAAUUGACAAGUCUGUGACUGAUGAGAAACUGCAUGAUAUGAAUGAUAAUGCUAGGGCCACUAUCUUGUUAAAUCUGAGCAGUUCUGUGGUUAGGAAAGUGUCUCAUCACUUAUGUGCUAAGGAUUUAUGGGAUGAUCUGAACUCAAUUUACUCCACUUCAUCUGAAGAAUCUGCAUGGACCUUACAAAACCAAUUUAUGAAUUUUCAAAUGGAUCCUUCAAAGGAUGUUGAUUCAAACCUUGAUGAUUUUCACAAACUGUUGCAUGAUUUGAAAAUUGCUGGUGAUGACAAUAUUGAGAAGUAUGCCCCUCAGAUUUUGUUAAGUUCUAUUCCUGAGUCUUUUUCUGAAGUAAAAUCAGCUUUAAAAUAUGGUGGGUCUAAGGUCUCUUGUGAAAUGAUUAUCAAUGGUCUUAAGACCAAAGAAAGUGAACUUAAACUGCAAAAACCCUGUGUUCCAUGAUAGAACUAAGCAUAUUGCUGUUAAAUAUCACUUCAUUAGGGAUGUAGUUGAAAAAGGAGAUGUUUUGCUUGAUAAGAUUCCCUCUGAAUUCAAUCCAGCAGAUAUGGGCACCAAGUGCCUUCCAGUUGCAAAGCUGGAAUCUUGCUUGGAAACUUUGAAUAUUGGUCCUGGUUAACUUUUCUUUUGUGUCUUUGUGUGACAAGUUCAGCCUCUGUGGCUGCUUGUCUCUUCUUUGUCUGUGUUACUUCUUUUUCUGCAUGAUGUUUGUUGUCCUUGAGCUGCAUGCUGUGUUCUGGUCUGUGUACCUACUGCUGUCAAGUGUGAGUUUUUCCGUUUAUGUCUCCAUGUCCUGUGUGUGUGUGACUGCCUUGUUAUGCUUUGUUUUUCUUUGUUGUCUGCUCUGGUCUGUUUGUCCCUUCUGUGUGUGUCUUGUGUGAUGUUGCUUGAGUGCAUGUGUGUGUGUGUGUCUGUUGUGUCUUCAAUGAUAACCCCUUGGGUUUGAGAAAUGGUGAUUUCCCUGGGUUGGUCUCUGUGGUUUGAGACUGAGUUAAAUAUGCAUAAUAUUUUUCUCACCCUCUAUUAUCUUGUCUUUGUGAUAGGAUGAUAGUAAAAAUGGCUAUGAUGAUAAACUCAAUCGAAAAGGCACACACUCCCUGGUGACAUAAAGACUAUUGUGCCAAAGGUGGAUAUGUGGAUUGUUGGCCCAAUACUCUUUAUUUUUCAGCUCAAGCCCAAAACCCCGUAAGCCCAUCUUCCCUUUAAACCUUUUCUUUUAUCCAAGCCCAAGCCCAUCCCCUUAUUUAUCCCACCCCCCUUUUUCAGCCAAACCCUUAAUCCCUCACUUCCCUUGCGCCGCUCUAUUAUCUCUCUCUCCCAUCUGCGCCCUUCCAGUUCCCUCCGCCGCCCGACCCCUCGGUUCUCCUUCCGCCUUUAAUUCUCCCACCCUUCCCGAUGCCUCCCUUCACCUCCCUGAUCUGUCCCCAGCUUGGUUAUAAAGCACUCGAUUGUGGGAAGUUCCGUUCAAGAGGUACACAACGUUGAAGGCUCUGCUAUUCCUUCGUGUUUCCGGUCUGAUCGCCGGUGUUGUGGCUGUGAGGAGCGGGCUUCCUGCUAUUGAGAGCAUUAUCAUCGGAUUCCUGAGAAGGUCUCCUGUUUGGUGAUAUUGUUGAGUUCCCUGUGUCGCCGGAUUCCUGAGAAGGUUUCCUGUUUGGUGACGGAGCUGUGUUCUUUGAGUCGCCAGAGUACUGUCCAUCGGAUUCCUGAGUUUGGGCGGCUGAGAUUAACUGAGUUGGGCUCCGAUUUGUGUUCCGCUUCCACCUUUGAGCCUUGGUCUUUGAGCUGCCGGAGUGU